rnacentral:rRNA from 1 species
AUUGAACGCUGGCGGCAGGCUUAACACAUGCAAGUCGAGCGAGCGGCGGACGGGUGAGUAAUGUCUGGGAAACUGCCUGAUGGAGGGGGAUAACUACUGGAAACGGUAGCUAAUACCGCAUACCAUCAGAUGUGCCCAGAUGGGAUUAGCUAGUAGGUGGGGGAAUGGCUCACCUAGGCGACGAUCCCUAGCUGGUCUGAGAGGAGGACCAGCCACACUGGACAUGAGACACGGUCCGGACUCCUACGGGAGGAAGCAGUGGGGAACAUUGCACAAUGGGCGCAAGCCUGAUGCAGCCAUGCGGCGUGUGGGAAGAAGGUCUUCGGGUUGUAAAGCACUUUCAGCGAGGAGGCGUUACUCGCAGAAGAAGCAACGGCUAACUCCGUGCCAGCAGCCGCGGUAAUUC